AACACAGGCAAGUCGAACGAAGCACCUUACCUGAUUCUUCGGAUGAAAGUUUGGUGACUGAGUGGCGGACGGGUGAGUAACGCGUGGGUAACCUGCCCUGUACAGGGGGAUAACAGCUGGAAACGGCUGCUAAUACCGCAUAAGCGCACGAGGAGACAUCUCCUUGUGUGAAAAACUCCGGUGGUACAGGAUGGGCCCGCGUCUGAUUAGCUGGUUGGCAGGGUAACGGCCUACCAAGGCAACGAUCAGUAGCCGGUCUGAGAGGAUGAACGGCCACAUUGGAACUGAGACACGGUCCAAACUCCUACGGGAGGCAGCAGUGGGGAAUAUUGCACAAUGGGGGAAACCCUGAUGCAGCAACGCCGCGUGAGUGAAGAAGUAUUUCGGUAUGUAAAGCUCUAUCAGCAGGGAAGAUAAUGACGGUACCUGACUAAGAAGCUCCGGCUAAAUACGUGCCAGCAGCCGCGGUAAUACGUAUGGAGCAAGCGUUAUCCGGAUUUACUGGGUGUAAAGGGUGCGUAGGUGGCAGUGCAAGUCAGAUGUGAAAGGCCGGGGCUCAACCCCGGAGCUGCAUUUGAAACUGCAUAGCUAGAGUACAGGAGAGGCAGGCGGAAUUCCUAGUGUAGCGGUGAAAUGCGUAGAUAUUAGGAGGAACACCAGUGGCGAAGGCGGCCUGCUGGACUGUUACUGAC
rnacentral:rRNA from 1 species